GGGACACAUUGGGGUUGCUGUGGGGCUCUGUGGGGCUCUAUGAGGCGGUGUGGGGUUCUGUGGCGUGGUUUUGGGGUCCUAUGGGGCUCUAUGGGGCGCUAUGGGGCAGUUUUGGUGUUCUGUGGGGCGGUUUUGGGGUUGGACGGGGCGGUCCAAUAAAGCUCAGCCGUUGGUCACUGCUGGUGUGAGAGCGGAUGGGUUGGGGAUAAUGGGGUCAAUAGGCGGAGCGCCUCCGGAAAGAACCGAAGUUCUUCGGCAACCGGAAGUCAAUACCCGAACGGCGCUCGGAACCGGAAGUCGGUACCCGAAGGGCUCCGAAGCGCUCCGAGCGGCCAUGGCGUGACUUCCGUCCCUUCCCCCCUUCCCCCAUUUUUUCUUCACUGCGGAUUCUCAGCUCCUCCGGCCGCCCCCCGGGUUUCGCUCCGCCCCCUCCGGGGGGUCCAUGGGCCGGGAACGAGGAGGCGGGGGGGCGGCCGAGCGGAGGAGGCGGCGCUGGGAUGGGCGAAAGGAAUCGGAGCGGCUGAGGGAACCCGAAGGUGUCCGAAGGGAGCCGAACGGGAGCCGAAGGUCUCCGAAGGGACACGAAGUGGUCUGAGGGGACCCGAAGGUGUCCGAAGGGAGCCGAAGAUCUCCGAAGGGACACGAAGCGGCCUGAGGGGACCCGAACGCCACCGAAGGGAGCCGAACCGGACCCGAAGAAUCCCGAAGUGGUCUGUGGUGACCCGAAUGCCGCCGAACGGAUCCGGAAGGACCCGAACCGAAGCCGAAGAGACCCGAAGCGGACUGCAGUGACCCGAACGCCUCCGAACGGAUCCGGAAGGACCCGAAUCGGACCCGAAGAAUCCUGAAGAGGUCUGUGGUCACCCGAAUGCUUCCGAACGAAUCCGGAAGGACCCGAAUCGGACCCGAGGACACCCGAAACAAUCUGCAGUGACCCGAACGCCUCCGAACGGGCCCGAAUCGGACCCGAGGACAUCCGAAGCGGUCUGCGGUCACCCGAACAUCUCCGAAGGGAUACGAAAGGACCCGAACCGGAGCCGAAGAGACCCGAAACAAUCUGCAGUGAUCCGAACGGACCCGAAUCGGACCCGAGGACACCCGAAACGGUCUGCGGUCACCCGAACACUUCCGAAGGGAUCCGGAAGGACCCGAAUCGGACCCGAGGACACCCGAAGCGGUCUGCAGUGACCCGAACACCUCCGAACGGACCCGAGGACACCCGAAGCCAUCUGCAGUGACCCGAACGCUGCCGAACGGACCCGAACCGGACCCGACGACACCCGAAGUGAUCUGCGGCCACCCGAACGCCUCCGAACGGAUCCGAAGAGACCCGAAGCGAUCUGCAGUGACCCGAACGCUGCCGAACGGACCCGAACCGGACCCGAAGAAUCCCGAAGCGUUCUGAAGGGUCUCCCCGAAGAGGCCCGAACCGGGCCCGGCCCGCCAUGGCCUUCAGCGGCCCCGCGCUGUUCCUCCUCGGCCUCCUGAUGGGUGAGCGCGACUUCAGACCCCCAAACCCACCCCCAAAUAACCCCCACCCACCACGGGACCCCCCCGACCCCUCAAAGGAUCCCUUCAAGGACCUCUCAAAGUCGUCGUGUCCCCGCCCCUCCCCCCCCCUUAUGAACCUUCCAGGACCUCAAGCCUCCCCAUGACCCCUUAUGGACCUUCCAGGACCUUAUAACCUGCUCAGGACCCCCCCAAGAACCUUCAAGGACCCACAAAGAGCCUUCCAGGACCCUAUAACCUUCCCAUGACCCCCCCAUCAACCUUCCAGGACCCCAAACCUCCC
rnacentral:lncRNA from 1 species